UAUGGCUCAGGAUGAACGCUAGCGGCAGGCCUAACACAUGCAAGUCGAGGGGUAACAUUGGAGCUUGCUUCAGAUGACGACCGGCGCACGGGUGCGUAACGCGUAUACAAUCUACCUUUUGCUGAGGGAUAGCCCAGAGAAAUUUGGAUUAAUACCUCAUAGUAUACACUACUUUCAUGAGUUAUGUAUUAAAGGUUACGGCAAAAGAUGAGUAUGCGUCCUAUUAGCUAGAUGGUAAGGUAACGGCUUACCAUGGCAACGAUAGGUAGGGGCCCUGAGAGGGGGAUCCCCCACACUGGUACUGAGACACGGACCAGACUCCUACGGGAGGCAGCAGUGAGGAAUAUUGGACAAUGGAGGCAACUCUGAUCCAGCCAUGCCGCGUGCAGGAUGACUGCCCUAUGGGUUGUAAACUGCUUUUAUACAGGAAGAAACACUGCUACGUGUAGCAGCUUGACGGUACUGUAAGAAUAAGGAUCGGCUAACUCCGUGCCAGCAGCCGCGGUAAUACGGAGGAUCCAAGCGUUAUCCGGAAUCAUUGGGUUUAAAGGGUCCGUAGGUGGAUAAUUAAGUCAGAGGUGAAAGUUUGCAGCUCAACUGUAAAAUUGCCUUUGAUACUGGUUAUCUUGAAUCAUUAUGAAGUGGUUAGAAUAUGUAGUGUAGCGGUGAAAUGCAUAGAUAUUACAUAGAAUACCAAUUGCGAAGGCAGAUCACUAAUAAUGUAUUGACACUGAUGGACGAAAGCGUGGGGAGCGAACAGGAUUAGAUACCCUGGUAGUCCACGCCGUAAACGAUGGAUACUAGCUGUUCGGAACUUGUUUCUGAGUGGCUAAGCGAAAGUGAUAAGUAUCCCACCU
rnacentral:rRNA from 1 species